UGCAAGUCGACGGCAGCGCGGGGAGCUUGCUCUCUGGCGGCGAGUGGCGGACGGGUGAGUAACGCGUGGGAAUCUGCCCUGUAGUGGGGGAUAACCCGAGGAAGCUCGGGCUAAUACCGCAUACGACCUUCGGGUGAAAGUGGCUCUUUCGAGGGACACGCUAUGGGAUGAGCCUGCGUCCGAUUAGCUAGUUGGUGAGGUAAAGGCUCACCAAGGCGACGAUCGGUAGCUGGUCUGAGAGGAUGAUCAGCCACACUGGGACUGAGACACGGCCCAGACUCCUACGGGAGGCAGCAGUGGGGAAUAUUGGACAAUGGGGGCAACCCUGAUCCAGCAAUGCCGCGUGUGUGAAGAAGGCCUGCGGGUUGUAAAGCACUUUCAGUGGGGAAGAUGGGCUGCGUGUAACGAGCGCAGUUUGACGUUACCCACAGAAGAAGCACCGGCUAACUCCGUGCCAGCAGCCGCGGUAAUAC
rnacentral:rRNA from 1 species